UUGCAGAUAGCUCAGUCGUAGAGCGUCAGUAUGAGGAACUGAAGGUCGCUGGUUCAAUCCCGGCUCCGCAAGCCA
rnacentral:tRNA from 1 species